rnacentral:rRNA from 1 species
UACGUAGGGGGCAAGCGUUGUCCGGAGUUACUGGGCGUAAAGCGCACGCAGGCGGUCUCUUAAGUUUGGAGUGACAGUUGGUGGCUUAACUGCCAAAGUGCUUCGAAAACUGAGAGACUUGAGGGCUUCAGAGGGACACGGAAUUCCGGGUGGAGUGGUGAAAUGCGUAGAGAUCCGGAGGAACACCAAAGGCGAAGGCAGUGUCCUGGGGAGUACCUGACGCUCAGGUGCGAAAGCCAGGGGAGCGAACGGG